GACGAACGCUGGCGGCAUGCCUAACACAUGCAAGUCGAACGUGAGGAGGUAGCAAUAUCUCUGAAAGUGGCGCACGGGUGAGUAAUACGUAGGUGACCUGCCCUGGAGUGGGGGAUAACAGCUAGAAAUGGCUGCUAAUACCGCAUAUUGCCGAGACAUUGGGAAAUGACUUGGUAAAAACUCUGGUGCUUCAGGAGGGGCCUGCGGCCGAUUAGCUAGUUGGCGGGGUAAGAGCCCACCAAGGCAGUGAUCGGUAGCUGGUCUGAGAGGACGAUCAGCCACACGGGAACUGAGACACGGUCCCGACUCCUACGGGGGGCAGCAGUGAGGAAUAUUGGGCAAUGGGCGGAAGCCUGACCCAGCAACGCCGCGUGGAGGGAAGACGGGCCUUCGGGUUGUAAACUCUUUACGGGGUAAGAGGAGGACGGUACCCGACGAAUAAGUACACGGCUAACUACGUGCCAGCAG
rnacentral:rRNA from 1 species